rnacentral:misc_RNA from 1 species
UCGUCCGCCGCGGCGUACACCCCGUCCUCCGCUUACCCCCCGCGCGCCGUCAUCGAUUCACCUGCCUUCCCCCAGCCCUACUACUCCCACUACCCCGCCAACUCGGUAGCUCCAGCCCCGGCGCAGCUGCACAUCAACACAAUCUUCAUCUCAGGCCUCCCCGACGAUGUCAAGCCCCGGGAGAUUCACAACCUCUUCUCCCGCCGUCAAGGCUUCGAGUCCUGCCAGCUCAAGUACACCG